rnacentral:lncRNA from 1 species
GAGAGAAAGUAUGUGAAGAGCUUAAUCCGCAGCGGGUCUAUCUGUGCGCGUGUGUGCGCAGAGCCUGGCCUCCCAGGGCCGGUCACCCCUGCGGCUCAGGGCUCUGUGUGUGUGUGUGUGCACUUGUGUGUGCACGUGCGUGUGCACGCCUGAGACCGUGGUGGGCGUGGAGUCCAGACAUGGCGGGGCUGCCUUCAGGGCGAGUCCUGGUCUCAGCGGGCGCUGCGGUGGGCUGUCCAGACACCUGAGAAAAGCUCGGCUCGCUAGAUCGCUAGAACGCCCGCCCCCCAGGCCACCUGCCCCGGCUCCAGGAGGGGCCGCCCCUUCCUUCCUCCUGGGGAUGCGGAGAACAACACAGCCACCCAGGAAACACGUGUGCGCUGGGCCAUGGGGGCGGCGGAGGUGCUUGGAGCGGGUGGUCGACGCACUUUUUCUAGAUCCAGCCCCAGAAGGAACGGGGGCCGCCCUUCCGGGCUCUGCAUGUGACAAUUGCCAAGGCCCCGAGGUGGCCAGGAGUCUGUGCGGGGAGAGGAUAUUGGAACUGGAACCGUGGAUCUGGGAACUGACCCUCAGCUUUAUCAGGUUCCCCUGACGGCUGAUCACCUUGAUUGAGUCAAAUGCCACCUAAAACCCCAAAUCUCUAAAUUAUGGGGAAGACCUGGCCAAGGAAAGCAAAACCCGGACAAUUCAAGGGACUCCCUUUUCCAGCGUCUCAGACAGCAAGAUUGAUUGGAGACCAAGUUCAAGAAGAGACUCACUCAAAUGCUUUCUGCUCCAUUUCCUGACUUUGUUGGCUGGGUAGGAACUACACGCGAGUAAGAGAAGCAGAAGGAGAAGAUCACAGGACAGAGCUGGAGACCUUGUCCUUGUCUAGACACGCUGUGCACAGAUUUCAUAGGAUAAGGAAACGGGGGGUCAAGGCUGCCUCCCAAGUUGUUCUCCCUCUCAGGCUUUCCAGCGCACUCAACUCGC